CUACAGUAGGUUACACAGGUAGGCAUCCCAAUGAAUCUUGAGUAUCAAUAGAAGGAGACUCCACAAGCUCCCUAGGCAGCCUGUUCCAGUGCUCCAUUACCCUUACUGUGAAGAAUUUGUUCUGCACAUUAUCAUGGAAGUUCCUAUGUUCAAAUUUCAAGCCAUUAUUCCUUGUCCUAUUCCUAAGCACCACAGCAGUUCCAUUACAAACAAGAGCCCAGUGGCACAUCAGUGGCUCACGAGAAGAGCUUUGAAACCCAUGAGAUGGACAAUUAUAUGGUUUGCAUUACAGCUGUGGAGUCAGUAAACAACAUCAGUGGCAGAAUAGCUAGGUCUCCUCUUACUACUCAUCUGAACUGCCAAGGAUAAAACCAACAUUUCACAGAAUCAUUAAAGCUGGAAAAGACCACUAAGAUCACCUAGACCAACCACCAACCCAUCCCCACCAUGCCCACUAAAUCACAUCCCUCAGUGCCUUAUCUACGCUUUUCUUGAACACCUCCAGGGACAGCAUCUCCUCCACCUUGCUGGACAGCCUGUUCCAAUGCACUGCUACUCUGAGAAUAAGUUUUCCCUAAUAUCCAACCUGAUGUUAUUGCUGCUAUCCCUAUGGUUACCCAAAAACUGAGCUAGAGGCCAUGAAACACUUGUCCCCUCCAGUGGAGUGAAGCAGAAGACAACUGCAUUCCUAUGGAGAUCCAGUAACUUCAGCACCAUCUGUGUAUCUGCACCAGCCUGAAGCUUAUGUUAACACAUCUGUUAAGCUUAGGUUGCAACAGGCUGAAAAACAGCUUGUAGCAUCCAAGUUGCUCUCUAGUCAAAACAAGGGCAAGGAGGCAGCAUAAUAUUAGCUGAAUUUAAACCUCAGGAACGCUCCAGCACAUCCAAUCAGUAAAGCAGAUCUUCACCAUCAGUUUUACAUUUUAAGUGGAGCUAGGUUGGAGGCCUGCCCACGAAGCACCACUGUUGAACACAUCAAGCAACCAGUACUGUGCUACAACCAGGGCAAAGUUUGUGUCUACAGUUAAUCAACCUUUAUGUCCUAGGUAGCAGUCCUUAGCUUCAUGUACAACUAUUAAGACAUCCUGAUACUGCUUAGCCCCUCUUCUCUCUCCAGAUCAAUACAGAUUUCUUCAGGAUGCCCCACAGCUCAGGAAACUCCCUGGGAAACAUUGCUCACGUGUUCUCAGUAACCUAGCCAAGCCACAACUGUUUAUCUGGGUGUUGGGCCAAGAAGAAUGAUUCAUUCGUCUCACCAGUUGCUUGCAUCUGCAUGCCCUUCCUGCCAGAAGGGCAGAUGCCAUGUCCUCCUGAACUCUUAAGUCAUCCCUACUGGGCAGACCAAAGACACUACUGAACACCACUACCUACGCAUACACUGCAGUACUGGUAGUAAUUGCCCAUCAUGCUCAUUAGUACAAGAGCAGAGAGUUACUCUGUAAAUAGCACUGAGAAAGCAAGAGCUAUUUUCUGUCCAUUCUAAAUUCCUCAGCUACUCCAGGAGCCAGCCUAUGACUGCCAGAACUGAUUUAACCUUAACUCUUGCCAGUGAGCUGCAGGAUACGAUCACAGUGUCUCCUGAUACCUGGAGUCAGGCACUCAAACAAGGGCUGGGAGCCAGGGGAAGGAAGGGAAUUCAACCCAGUGAAUCAGGUUGUGGCUUCUGCAAAAAUCUGAUGGGAAACUCAGGCAGUACCUGCCUGACAGUCCAUGUGUCAUUAACUAUGGGAACAAAGCCUGCUGUUACUGGAGCAUUCCACUCCCACCCCACUCUCCCGAACUUCAAUAGUCAGGCUCAGAUGAUGCAAAAUACAGCUUUCUAUAGCUACAAGACCAUUAUUAGACUGAAUAAUUCAAAAUACUGACAAAAAAAAACAGGAUUCCCAGCUGGGCCUUGUGCUCCAAAGAAAAAAAAAGGCUACUAAUCACAGCAAGGAAAGCAAGUUCUGAGCCAAGAUCAAUUAAAAUUAACAACGGCAAAGUUGAUAGUACUAGGGCAGAUGUGCCCACCAGCUUCAGCCUGCCACUCUUGUGAUCCCCCUCUCAAGAUGCUGUCAUCCUAGAGAACAGUAUUUCAGUACUACUUUCUAGGUUGUGAUACUACAUCAAAUCCUCCCAGGGAACCUCUUUUGACCUCAGCUGCAAACAUGGGAAGUUACUUGGACUUCCCAAGGUCACCCCCAUAUUCAUCAAACAUCAGUCCAGGUCUGUGUAACAUGAUGGCACACUGCAUAGUUCUGGUAAAACAAAAGCCAUACCAAUGUGCACAGUUUGGUCUUUGACUUAGAACAUCUUUGGUCUUACCUGAGAUUCCUCACUCCUCCUAGCUUGUGGGGUUUCUGUGGAUCCAUUGAUGUUCAACGUGUCUUUCUGCUUGUAUUUUCUCAUAAUCAAGCUGUCCACAACCCAGAACAUAACGGCCUUUGGAAGAAAGGAGUUUAAUGAAUAGACCGCAAAGACCAAGAUGUAAAGUCAUGCAAGCCAAGCUACUUCUCUUUUUGGAUCGUCCAAACCUCUAUCUUCCAGCAGCCUAAUAUCCAAAUGAAUCUCGUGUUAAGUGUAUCUGUUGGAGUGGAUGAGGCAAGUUGCUAAGGUCCCUUCCUCACAAAUUCUGAGGAUUCCCUUUUCACUGGAGACCAAAUGAAAACAGGUCAGAGUAGACCAAGUUUCUGCCAGAAUUAAUCAUGGAACCAACACCAUCCAAUAUUCAUUCACUUGUUCUGCCUGCACCAGUCACUUUAAGAACCAGAGCUUGCUUUCAAGUAAGUGCACCAUGGGAUGGAGUUGGGAAGAGAGGUUAGAAUAGCACAGGCAGGAAAACCCAUCCUUGCCAACACUCCACCUGUUGUAAGAAGCAUGAAGAUAUCACUUCUUUUCCAGGGGAGAUCUCAAUGCUAAGAUCUUUUUCUCACUUACCAUAUUGGGGUAGUAAUUGAUCUGUCAGUAAAACAUUGCAUAGAAUCAGGAAAACUAGAGAAAACAGAGCUUUUGCCAAGCUAAAUUUGAAGAUACCAGUAGUUUUGGGCAGUCUGAACUAAUCUAUACAAACGGCUGAUAUAGAAUAAGUUACUUUAUAGUAUCUUUAACUUUGAACUACUGCUCCUCAGCCCCCAUCACUAUAUCCAUCACAAGAGCUUUAGCACUUCUGUUCAUAUUUUCAUGACUGCUUGCAAAUUUAAGUGACAGUGACAUUACAGCUUCAAAUGAUGCAGUUGGACAGAGACCAUAUCUGGCAGAAGGUCUACUCCUGACAGUACCCAACACCUGUCGAAAGGACCCAAGUCUCUUGUUUUAACAGUGCUUUCUAACCAUGUUGCAUUGCAAAAAACAGCACAGCAGAUUGAAGGCCAAUCCAGUGCCUUCAUACCAAAUACAUGUCACUACACUUGCAGAGAGAUCUGUCAUGCAUUUCAGCGGGACUGAUGUGCACCUAGGACAACCAUAUUCCUACUCUGAAUGCGACUCCAGCCUCUAUUUCUGCUGAAAGCAUGCUUUUUUGGCCACUCUAGUAGCCUUGGUGAAUAUAAGCAAGAAAGUGUUUUUUCUCUUCAAGGUUGGAGUAGAAAUAAGACACAUUUGAGAUAUUUGCA